UGCGUAGGCGGAAGAUUAAGUCAGUGAUGAAAUCCUGCAGCUCAACUGUAGAACUGUCAUUGAUACUGAUUUUCUUGAAUACAGUUGAGGUAGGCGGAAUAUGUAAUGUAGCGGUGAAGUGCUUAGAUAUUACAUAGAACACCAAUUGCGAAGGCAGCUUACUAAACUGUGAUUGACGCUGAGGCACGAAAGCGUGGGGAGCGAACAGGAUUAGAUACCCUGGUAGUCC
rnacentral:rRNA from 1 species